GUCGAUGAUGGGAGCUAGCUUGCUAGAAGAAGUCAUGGCGGACGGGUGAGUAACGUGUAAAGAACUUACCAUAUAGACUGGGAUAACAGAGGGAAACUUCUGAUAAUACUGGAUAAGUUAGUAGUAGCAUUACUAAGUAAUGAAAGGUAGCAAUACGCUAUAUGAGAGCUUUGCAUCCUAUUAGCUAGUUGGUGGGGUAAAAGCCUACCAAGGCGAUGAUAGGUAGCCGGCCUGAGAGGGUGGACGGCCACAAGGGGACUGAGAUACGGCCCUUACUCCUACGGGAGGCAGCAGUGGGGAAUAUUGGACAAUGGAGGCAACUCUGAUCCAGCAAUUCUGUGUGUGUGAAGAAGGUUUUAGGACUGUAAAACACUUUUAGUAGGGAAGAAAGAAAUGACGGUACCUACAGAAGAAGCGACGGCUAAAUACGUGCCAGCAGCCGCGGUAAUACGUAUGUCGCGAGCGUUAUCCGGAAUUAUUGGGCUUAAAGGGCAUCUAGGCGGUUAAACAAGUUGAAGGUGAAAACCUGUGGCUCAACCAUAGGCUUGCCUACAAAACUGUAUAACUAGAGUACUGGAAAGGUGGGUGGAACUACACGAGUAGAGGUGAAAUUCGUAGAUAUGUGUAGGAAUGCCGAUGAUGAAGAUAACUCACUGGACAGCAACUGACGCUGAAGUGCGAAAGCUAGGGGAGCAAACAGGAUUAGAUACCCUGGUAGUCCUAGCUGUAAACGAUGAUCACUGGGUGUGGGGAUUCGAAGUCUCUGUGCCGAAGCAAAAGCG
rnacentral:rRNA from 1 species